GCCCGGUGGGGGAUUUUUGUGUCAAAAUGGCGGUUUCGAAAUAAAAUUUUUAUUUCGAAACCGCCAUUUUGACACAAAAAUCCCUCA
rnacentral:pre_miRNA from 1 species